AAAAAAAUGGAGAGAGAAAUUCUGUGUUCAUGGAUAGGAACUCAAUAUCCCCUACAUAUCAGUUCUUCUCAACUUGACUACUGAGGUUAAAAUAUAAUCCCAGGCAAAAACCCAGCAAGUUGUUUUGUGAAAACUGGAAAUUGGAAAUUUAAAAGUUUUGAGAUGGGUAUUUGAGGUUUGACAAAGGAAAUUUUAGCAAGCCUUAGUGUAAAAAAAAAAAAAAAAAAAAAAGUUGUUGAACCUGUAUGACUCAAAGAAGAAUGAUAACCACUGCAAGAACAAAGACAAGGAAAAAAGAAAGAGUCCAUAACCAGAC